rnacentral:rRNA from 1 species
CGAGUUUGAUCCUGGCUCAGAACGAACGCUGGCGGCAGGCCUAACACAUGCAAGUCGAGCGAACCCUUCGGGGUUAGCGGCGGACGGGUGAGUAACGCGUGGGAACGUGCCCUUUGCUACGGAAUAGCCCCGGGAAACUGGGAGUAAUACCGUAUGUGCCCUUCGGGGAAAGAUUUAUCGGCAAAGGAUCGGCCCGCGUUGGAUUAGGUAGUUGGUGGGGUAAUGGCCUACCAAGCCGACGAUCCAUAGCUGGUUUGAGAGGAUGAUCAGCCACACUGGGACUGAGACACGGCCCAGACUCCUACGGGAGGCAGCAGUGGGAAUCUUAGACAAUGGGCGCAAGCCUGAUCUAGCCAUGCCGCGUGAUCGAUGAAGGCCUUAGGGUUGUAAAGAUCUUUCAGUGGGGAAGAUAAUGACUGUACCCACAGAAGAAGCCCGGCUAACUCCGUG